UGGGGAAUCUUGCACAAUGGGGGAAACCCUGAUGCAGCGACGCCGCGUGAGCGAUGAAGCCCUUCGGGGUGUAAAGUUCUUUCGACAGGAACGAUAAUGGCGGUACCUGGAGAAGAAGCUGCGGCUAACUACGUGCCAGCAGCCGCGGUAAUACGUAGGCAGCGAGCGCUGUUCGGAGUUACUGGGCGUAAAGAGUGCGUAGGCGGCGAGCCAAGUUUGGUGUGAAAUCUCCCGGCUUAACCGGGAGGGUGCGCCGAAAACUGGUUGGCUGGAGUAUGGGAGAGGAAAGCGGAAUUCCUGGUGUAGCGGUGAAAUGCGUAGAUAUCAGGAGGAACACCUGCGGUGUAGACAGCUUUCUGGACCAAAACUGACGCUGAGGCACGAAAGCGUGGGUAGCAAACA
rnacentral:rRNA from 1 species